CUCCUCUUUUCCUCCUCUUUUGUUGUUGUUGUUUUGAGACAAGAUCUCUAUGUAGCCCAGGCUGGCCCGGAACUUACUAUACAGUUCAGACUCGCCCUCUAACUCACUGAGCUCUGCCUGCCUCUGGCUUCCAAGUGCUGGGAUUAUGGGCGUGCGCCACCAUGCCCAGUCCCAGGAUCAUCUUAUUUCAUUGUUCUUACUACUUGCUAUGUUCUUUCCCUCUUCCCCACGUUAUCCCUCAGCUUUCCCUGCUAAGCUGUGUUCAAAGCCAUGCCCUGCUGUGAAUCUUUUCAUAGUUUUUUCAUGGGCUCUGGUCUGAUCAUCGUCAUAAAGAUGCAGGAGGGGCAUUGCUUUGUCAUAUAUGGAUUUUUUUAGAUGGUCUCAUGUAACCCAGGAUGACUUUGAACUCUUUAUGUAGCCAAAAGCGAUCUCAAACUUCUCACCCUCCUGUCUUCAUUUCCAGAGAACUGAGAUUACGGGCAGGUAGCACGAUACCUAGGACCAAACCCGAGGCCUCACAUAUUGCCAGGCCUUGCCUCUACUCUGGCUCUGGGACCUCAGGACCGAGGAGACUCUGCCUGCCCUCUGCUCUGUCUUCUACACUGAUUGCCCAGGGAGAGGUCCCCUCAGUACCUCCCCUUCCUCCAGACUGCAUGGCAGACUCCGAAGGGAGGCUGGCCCUGGGACCCCGGCGUCCAGAGCUCAUCCCUGAUGCUCCGAAGCCCUCUCUCCUCCCGGAUGCUCCGAAGCCCUCUCUCCUCCCGGGUCCACAGUGGUCCUGGCCACCUCCUGCUUCCCAGGGCUCUGCUCUUGGCUCACAGCCCCUGCUUUGGGUCAGGACCACAACCUGGGGACUCCAGCCCCAAUGCGAUGCAGCUUUUUGAUCACUGGUUCGGUACUCUGUGCGCUCCCCCAGCCCAGCUCCUGCUCCAGCCACAAGUGCCCUUCACCCCCCAUCCCCCCACCCCGUGACUCGGGUCCCCCAUCCAGCCUCACUUCCCCUCCUCACGGCUCUGCCGCCUCUACCGGACCACUGUGAUACCCGGAAGUGCCCAGGCUAAGGUUUAGGUUUUCAUGAACUUGUUUUCGUCUAAGAGCAGUCUUUAGGUUCGAGAGAGAAGACCAUGAGUUUCCACCACACACACAGCCCGCUCACACCCCACCGCUCUACACCAGGAUGGAGUAUUCCUUACAGCCGUGAGCCUGUGCUGACCCGCCCUUCCCACCUGAGUCCACCCCAGGUCCCUCUCACUGCUGCUCCUCCACCCGGUGUCAGUUUGAACCAGUGUAUACCACGCACACCAUUAUAGUAGCACACGCAGGAGGCUGCUCUGUUGUUUUUGUUUGUUUGUUCGUUUCUGAGACAGGGUCUCUCUACAUAGCCCUGGCUGUCCUGGAAAUCACUGUGUAGACCAGGCUGGCCUUGAACUCACAGGGAUCCACCCGCCUCUGCCUCUGCUGGGACUAAAGAUGUGCACCACCACAUCCAGCACGUGCCGUCGUCCCGCUUACCUGGCUUCCCACCCCGUUUCCCUGUCCCCGUAGGCUUGACUUUCCCAGAAUGCCAUGUGUCGUGGGGGGCUCAUCAUCAGUGUGUGGCUUUCAGACUGGCUUCUCAGCAGUAGACAGAGGCACGGUCCUUCCACAUCUUCUCAGGGGGACAGCUCCCCGCCACCCCAGUGCUUCCCUCCGCAUCCAUCGCUGGCUGGUGGGCGUUCUUGGUUACCUCCAGACUUGAGCAGCUAUAAAGCUGCUGGAAUGUGCUAUGCUGGCUUAGUGUGGACACGUUUCCAGUUCCCUUGGGCACACAGCUGUGAGAGCUACAGUAAGAGCACACAUAGUGAAUUGUCAUGAAACCAUCAGAUCUUCUUACCAAAUGGCUAUAACCAUCCUGCAUUCCUACCAACAGUGAGAGGAGGGUUUCUUUUUUUAAUUCUUUGACAAUUUCUUGCAUGUAUUUGGUGCAUUUUGGUCACUUUGACUCCGUUUCCUCUGAUCUCCUCUUCCUGACGAGUUCCCAUCCACCCUGAUGAACUUCGGUAUUGUUUUAAUUAGGGUUGCCCACAUAAACAUGGGUAGGGGGUUGUUUAUUGGCAUGUGGACAACUCACCAUUAGCUACCCAGAUGAAGAAACGACACCUCCUCCCCACCAACCAUAAACCGCUGAUACAGCUCUUCAGGGACGGGUGGGGCCUUGUCAGCCCCUCCCUCACCCAUGAUGGGAUAGUGACAGGUCCCAGUUUAUGUAGGUCUUGGCCGCAGCCGCUGUGAUGAGUGCAAUGUCCACAUCGUGUCCACGAGACCGCGUUUCACAGCCCUCCUGUCCACCCUCCAGCUCUCACGUCCCGUCCUCCCAGUCUUCGGCAGGGUUCCCUGAGCCUUGAGACGGCUGAUACAGAGCUCCUCUGGGGCUCAGCACUCUAAUCAGUCAUGAGUCUCUUUAUUAACUCUCGCCCAAGAAUGAGAGGGCUUGUUGCUCUCAGUCUCCGCCAGCGCUUGGUGACGUCCACAUUUGGGUUUUGGCCCUUCUGUCUGGUCUGUGUGACUGGUAUUACCGUCUUACUGUUUUAAUUUGUGAUUCCCCAGUGACGUAUGAUGAAGAACUCUGUCGCUGUUUGCCAUCUGUAUGUAUUCAUUGAGAAGUUCCCUGGGGGCUUUUGCCCAUUUUUUUUCUUUUUGGGUUUUUUCGAGACAGGGUUUCUCUGUAGCUUUGGAGUCUAUCCUGGAACUAGCUCUUGUAGACCAGGCUGGCCUCAAACUCACAGAUAUCUGCCUGCCUCUGCCUCCCGAGUGCCAAGAUUAAAUUAAGGCGUGUGCCAUCACCGCCUGGCUCUUUUGGCCAUUUUUAAGUUAGGUUGUUUGUUUUCUUAUGUUGUGUUUAAGAGUUCUCUGUAUGUGUUGGUGGUCAUCUCUUAUUAACUGUGUCUUUUAUGUAUAUUUUCUCCACUCUGUGGCCUGUUUUAUUGACAUUUUUUUGUUUGUUUUUAUUUUGUUUUUCAAAAUAGGGUUUCUCUGUAUAGCAGCUCUGGCUGUCCUGAAACUCGCUUUGUAGACCAGCCUGGCCUGGAACUCACAGAAAUCUACCAUGCUCUGGAAUUAAAGAUCUAUGCCACCACUGUC